rnacentral:tRNA from 1 species
GUCCUUAUAGUAUAACCUAUUACCCUGACCUUGUAAAUCAAAAAUGGACUCACCAGUCCUAAGGACA